GAUGAAGAACGUAGUAAAAUGCGAUAAGUAGUGUGAAUUGCAGAAUUCAGUGAAUCAUCGAAUCUUUGAACGCACAUUGCGCCCCUCGGUAUUCCGUGGGGCAUGCCUGUUCGAGCGUCAUUUACCCCUCAAGCACUGCUUGGUGUUGGGCGUCUGUCCCGCUUCGCGCGCGGACUCGCCCCAAAGGUAUUGGCAGCGGUCGUGCCAGCUUCUCGCGCAGCACAUUGCGCUUCUCGAGGCGGUCGAUCGGCGUCCACGAAGCUCACCUCCACCGUUUGACCUCGGAUCAGGUAGGGAUACCCGCUGAACUUAAGCAUAUCAAUAAGCGGAGGA
rnacentral:misc_RNA from 1 species